ACAUUGCCUUUUGUAUAUAUUAAAGGUACAUCCUGCCCAGUGACAAACGUUAAACGGCCGCGGUACCCUGACCGUGCUAAGGUAGCAUAAUCAUUUGCCUCUUAAUUGGUGGCUAGUAUGAAAGGACAAACGAGAGCUUAACUGUCUCUUACUUAAACCCCUUAAAUUAACCUCCGGGUGAAAAGGCCCGAUUUAUUUUAUAAGACAAGAAGACCCUGUCAAGCUUUACUAAAACCAUAUGCAACCAGAAAUUUUAAACCAUCUGCUUUCCAUCUAGUAAUAGUUUAGUUGGGGCGACUAAGGACCAAACCUAACGUCCUUCCAAUACCAAAGGACUAUAAUCCUAAAAACCUGAUCCCAUAAAGGAUAAAGAGACAAGCUACUGCAGGGAUAACAGGCUAAUUUUUCCUGAGAGUCCAAAUCGAAGGAAAAGUUUGGCACCUCGAUGUUGGCUUAAGAUAACCAUAAAGUGCAGCAGCUUUACAUGGUAGGUUGUUCACCCUUUAAA
rnacentral:rRNA from 1 species